rnacentral:lncRNA from 1 species
UUUCUAAUAAAUACAAAAUCAAUGCAAUAUUUAAAUUAAUAAUCAUCUCAAAAUCAAACUAAUAAAAUAUCAUAAAGGAUACCUGUUAGUGUAAUAAAUUCAUAAACAUCUACAUAAAAAUCUAAUAACAAUAUAUAAUAAGUACAAAACAUGUAUUUAGGGUGGAGACGAGGAACGGGAGGAUGAUUGGAAGAAUUUCAUAAGCUGAGAAAUUUGUUGUUGCAUUUCCAACUGCCUAGUCUCCAUUUCUGCUUCUUUUCGUCGUCGCUCCUGCACCUCAGCCUCCAUUUCUGCUUCUUUUCGUCGCUCCUGCACCUCAGCCUGUAGAGUAGCUUGUAGAGUAGCCUCUCUAUGUUGUGUCUGCUCUAACUCUGUCUGGAGCUGUGCAAUCUGAGCUGAGACUGCUGCUGAAGGAAAUUGAGACGAGCACGUCGAAUGAGUGCUCGUCGAACCAGUGGAACGCAUCUGAGACAUAAUGCCCAAUCCGAGUCUACGCCCCUUCGGAUCUGGCGUCACCACCUCCCUAUAGAUCUGACUGACCUCAUCUGGAGUGACAUCUCGUCCAAGAGUAGAGCGUAACUCCUCGACUCGACUAUGUAUCUCAAGCUACAUUUAGAUGCAUUACAAACAACUUAAAAUGUAAUAAAAUAGAAUUAAAUGCUUAGAAUAAUUAAAAUGUUCAUAUUACUUACACCCUGAGUCUGUGCCCGUCCAUCGAACUGUCCUUUCUUAAAGUGCAUCCUCAUGAAAGUAUCAUAAUGUGCAUCUGCGAUAGAAAUAUUCUUCUCUCGAGCCUGUAAUAAAGAAAGAUGAUUCAAAAUUAAAUUAUUGAAUUAUUGAAUUUUUUACAAAGAUAAAAACACGUUUGCAAUAACUUACCACAUGCUCAGCAUGACUAAUAGCACUGCGAGAGCCUCCAUAGUGGAUAGAUAAUCCUGUACCUGGACCAGCAAGCCCAGAUCGACGAUUCUUGCUCGCCUGCUGCGACUUAAAAGAAACAUGAAUAAUGUAUAAAUCAAAUUAAAAUAUUUCCUCAAAAGAGAGCAUAUAUUGAUGUGUUCAAAUAUAAAAACAUGCAUCUUUGCCUCUCCCCCACCGGCAAUUUCAAAUAAAUAGAUAUGCAUAUUUGCCUCUCCCCCACCGGCAAUUUCAAAUAAAUAAACAUGUAUUUUUGCCUCUCCCCCACCGGCAAUUUCAAAUAAAUAAACAUGUAUUUCUGCCUCUCCCCCACCGGCAAUUUCAAAUAAAUAAAACACUAACCUGGACACAAUGAUGUAAGAGCACAACGACGAUGGCACAGCAGCUAGCAAUUGGCAAACGGGCACAAGACAAGACUAAAACAGAAAAAAUUAAAUCAAAACACAGAUAUUCCGACCAAAUAAGCAAAUACAACACAAACCAUUCUUGUAGAUAACAGUUCCCCUAGACCUCCAUUCUUAUAAUAUCUAUAAAGAGGAAGACAUGAUCACAAAAAUAAUGAGCUACAUUUCCCUAAGAAACACCCAGGACAACAACAAGAUGCUAGAAAAACCAAUAGACUAAAUAUUCUAAAAGAUAGUUGAUGUAAUUUCUUUAUAAUAUUACAGCAAAUGAACCGAUUAGAUAUAUAUUAACAGAAUCCGUGUUAUAUAUAUUUAUCAUACAAACUUUUAUCCCAAUAUUUGAAUAACGCAAGUUAAGGAAAUUAUAAUAUAACAUGAACUAGAAUUGCAAGUCUUGAUACUAGAAACAAAAGGAGCCAAAGCAUAAUAGCAGGAAACUGCCAGUAGCAGAUACAUAUGGCUCCUGAGACCUAUCAAUAAGCAGUAGCCCCAGUAGCAGAUACAUAUGGCUCUGUCCAAAUUCUAACAUUCAAAAAUAUCUCUUACAUUUGAGGACUUG